rnacentral:lncRNA from 1 species
GUGUGUGUCCCCCUAGCAACGCACGACGAUGUUGUGGAGGCCGGUGGGAGUGAGAAGACCGAGGAGGAGGCCCAGGCUGUGACCAAGGAGGAGGAGGCGGGCCCGGCCCCUGAGAAGGGGGCAGAGGAGGCCGCAGCCGUUGGCGAGGCAGAGGAGGAGGCGGGCCCAGGCAGUGACAAUGACAAGACGUCCCCAGCCAGGGCUGGGGCUGAGCAGGAAGAUGAAUCUGCCCCCAAGGUGGACGGGACGGACGGUGAAAGCUCGUGGAGCACUGUGAGUCUGUGUGGCAGCGUCCACGAUGAAGAUGACACAGACUCGGUGGUGGAGAGCAGCAACAGCCACCAGGACGAGGAGGCUGCAGGUAGGGAAGAGCACGCAGCUGGGAUCCAGUGGGAGAGGGUUCCUGGGAGCACCUGGGUUGCACCUGCUGCCGGGCGAGGGAGGAAGGGGGAUGGGACUUGGCGGGUGGGUGGGUGGCCUAAUGAGUGGAAGCCUGGUGUGGCGUUUUCCCCUCUGAAAUUGAUCACACGAAGAAGACUUGGGUGCCUGGUCUUUGUUGUGCUGUGUGUGUCUUCCUGUCUCCUUCCUUGGAGAGGGAAAAUGGAUUUUCCCUCCCAAGGCUGCUCCUUCCAGCUCUUGGCUCUGGCCACUGUGCCAGCUUGCUUUGUGACUCGCACCCUGAGGGUCCUGUGCACAAGAGCUGUUGACUUAGUUUCCUUUAGUGACCUUGAUGGACCUGACGGGGUGGGACGCCAACCUCUCCUAGGCCCCCGACCCUGGAGACGAAGUUGGUCUAGUGAGUGUCAGGUGGUGGGUGAGAAGGCAGCUCUCUCCCUCUGCACGUUCAGGAUUUCUGGGCUCCCUGACCUGUUGUGUCCUCACGGUGUGUCCUCAGGGAAGCGGCACUACCAGAGUUGGAUGAGUUACAGGAGUUGUCCUCUGAGUUCCUGUUGUAGCUCAGCGGUUAAUGGAUGCACCUUGGAACCAUGAGAUUGCGGGUUCGAUCCCCGGCCUCACUCAGUGUGGUGAGGAUCCAGGGUUGUUGUGAGCUGUGGUGUUGGUCACAGAUGCGGCUGGAUCCCACGUUGCUGUGGCUGUGGUUUGGGCUGGCAGCUGCAGCUCCGAUUGGCUCCCUAGUCUCGGAACCUCCAUAUGCUGCAAGAGUGGCCCUAGAAAAGGGAAAAAGGCAAACAUGCAAUACUGUAAAAUAAAGGAGAUGUCGUGUGGGGUUGCUGCGUAGGA